rnacentral:rRNA from 1 species
GGUACCGGACGCCGGGCUUCGGCCUGGUUAUUCAUAACCCUUUGUUGUCCGACUCUGUUGCCUCCGGGGCGACCCUGCCUUCGGGCGGGGGCUCCGGGUGGACACUUCAAACUCUUGCGUAACUUUGCAGUCUGAGUAAACUUAAUUAAUAAAUUAAAACUUUUAACAACGGAUCUCUUGGUUCUGGCAUCGAUGAAGAACGCAGCGAAAUGCGAUAAGUAAUGUGAAUUGCAGAAUUCAGUGAAUCAUCGAAUCUUUGAACGCACAUUGCGCCCCCUGGUAUUCCGGGGGGCAUGCCUGUUCGAGCGUCAUUUCACCACUCAAGCCUCGCUUGGUAUUGGGCAACGCGGUCCGCCGCGUGCCUCAAAUCGUCCGGCUGGGUCUUCUGUCCCCUAAGCGUUGUGGAAACUAUUCGCUAAAGGGUGUUCGGGAGGCUACGCCGUAAAACAACCCCAUUUCUAAGGUUGACCUCGGAUCAGGUAGGGAUACCCGCUGAACUUAAGCAUAUCAAAAGACGGGGAAGGAA